rnacentral:rRNA from 1 species
UACGUAGGGUGCGAGCGUUAAUCGGAAUUACUGGGCGUAAAAGUGUGCGCAGGCGCAAAGCAAGUCGAGUGUGAAAGCCCCGGGCUUAACUUGGGAAUUGCGCUCGAAACUACUUUGCUGGAGUGUGGCAGAGGAAGGUGGAAUUCCACGUGUAGCGGUGAAAUGCGUAGAGAUGUGGAGGAACACCAAUGGCGAAGGCAGCCUUCUGGGCCAACAACUGACGCUCAUGCACGAAAGCGUGGGGAGCAAACAGG